GCUUAGCGGCGCGAUUCGCCCUUUACGGGGGGCAGCAGUGAGGAAUAUUGGUCAAUGGGCGAGAGCCUGAACCAGCCAAGUAGCGUGCAGGAUGACGGCCCUAUGGGUUGUAAACUGCUUUUAUACAGGAAUAAAGUUAGCCACGUGUGGUUAUUUGUAGGUACUGUAUGAAUAAGGACCGGCUAAUUCCGUGCCAGCAGCCGCGGUAAUACGGAAGGUCCAGGCGUUAUCCGGAUUUAUUGGGUUUAAAGGGAGCGUAGGCCGUCUGUUAAGCGUGUUGUGAAAUGUAGAUGCUCAACAUCUGAAUUGCAGCGCGAACUGGCAGACUUGAGUGUGCGCAACGUAGGCGGAAUUCGUGGUGUAGCGGUGAAAUGCUUAGAUAUCACGAAGAACUCCAAUUGCGAAGGCAGCUUACGGGAGCACAACUGACGCUGAAGCUCGAAAGUGCGGGUAUCGAACAGGAUUAGAUACCCUGGUAGUCCGCACGGUAAACGAUGGAUGCCCGCUGUUGACCCACCUGGGCCAGCGGCCAAGCGAAAGCAUUAAGCAUCCCACCUGGGGAGUACGCCGGCAACGGUGAAACUCAAAGGAAUUGACGGGGGCCCGCACAAGCGGAGGAACAUGUGGUUUAAUUCGAUGAUACGCGAGGAACCUUACCCGGGCUUGAAUUGCAGAGGAAUUUACCAGAGAUGGUAGAGCCCUUCGGGGUCUCUGUGAAGGUGCUGCAUGGUUGUCGUCAGCUCGUGCCGUGAGGUGUCGGCUUAAGUGCCAUAACGAGCGCAACCCCUUUCCUUAGUUGCCAUCAGGUCAUGCUGGGCACUCUGGGGAUACUGCCACCGUAAGGUGUGAGGAAGGUGGGGAUGACGUCAAAUCAGCACGGCCCUUACGUCCGGGGCUACACACGUGUUACAAUGGCCGGUACAGAGAGACGGUUGCUUGCAAAAGUAAUCAAAUCCUUAAAACCGGUCCCAGUUCGGACUGGGGUCUGCAACUCGACCCCACGAAGCUGGAUUCGCUAGUAAUCGCGCAUCAGCCAUGGCGCGGUGAAUACGUUCCCGGGCCUUGUACACACGACCGUCAAGCAUGAAAGCUGGGGGUGCUGAGUCCGUGACGCAGACGGCCUAAGCAACCUGGUAUGGGCUAGUCGUACAGUUACUAUGCCGAUCGAUUUAAAGCCGUUG
rnacentral:rRNA from 1 species